UGUGCUGCUCGUACUAGGAAGUUCCCCUUUAAAACGCGAAGUACGCAUGCGUCACAUCCUUUCUUCCCAAGAGUGGAAGGAUCUGGUCACAAGUACUACGCGUUGCAGGACUGUGCUCUGUCCGGCAUAGGUCUGCCGUCCCCUGUGUGGCCUGGCUGAUUUGGGAAUGGUCUUCUGUGACCUGGAUUGGGUAAUCAGGGCUUUGAUUCACUUGGAGGUGCUGACCUUGAGUUGAACUAGCGCUGCCCAGGCCUUUGUGCCGCUGUGGGAGGGUCUAUUCUCAAGCUGUGUUACAUGUGCCUUUUGAUCUCUAGUUCAUCAGUCAUCUUUUUGAGAUGGAAGAGCCGAUCGCUUUCACGAAGGAGAUGAUCGCUACAGCCAAUGGAAGGGAUCAUGGCAUUUGCCACUGGAAAUGGGUGACCUGAGAAGUGCAGAUGAGUUAAAAACUGGUGAUUUUUAAAAUGGGUCGGAAGGAUUGCCACUGGACAAGGGUAACAUAAGUGCAAAUGAAAAAUAACUGGUACAAGGAUCGCCACUUAGAAAACAGUGACCUGAAAAGUGCAGAUGAAUUAAGAAUGGUUGCGUAGGUUUGCACAAAAUGCGAGAUCUGUGUGCGGGAUUCUUCCAGCGUAAGGUCCCUCUGGUGCAAGGAGUCCAGGUCAUGGAGAGCACAGGGAAACACUGCAUCGGGUGGAAAAACAAGCGCAGAGGCCCCUGCAUUCCCAAGACAAACUUUCUCAUUCCCAAACUCAGAAACAUGCGCUCACUGAAACAGGAGCUUGAUCCUAACUAUAAACUAGUAAUGAAGUGCUAAAAGGUGAAUGGGUUAUGAUAAUGUACAUAUUGAAAUAAAUUCUUAUUGAAACAUU